AGGGUUUGAUCAUGGCUCAGGACGAACGCUGGCGGCGUGCCUAAUACAUGCAAGUCGAACGAGAUCCCGGAGCUUGCUCCGGGGGACAGUGGCGAACGGGUGAGUAACACGUGAGAAACCUGCCCUAGAGACCGGGACAACCGUUGGAAACGGCGGCUAAUACCGGAUGCCUUCACAUGGUCGCAUGGCCGAGUGAAGAAAUGCUCAGGUGCUCUAGGAGGGUCUCGCGGCCUAUCAGCUAGUUGGUGAGGUAACGGCUCACCAAGGCAUCGACGGGUAGCUGGUCUGAGAGGACGAUCAGCCACACUGGGACUGAGACACGGCCCAGACUCCUACGGGAGGCAGCAGUAGGGAAUCUUGCGCAAUGGGGGCAACCCUGACGCAGCAACGCCGCGUGUGGGAUGACGGCUUUCGGGUUGUAAACCACUUUCAGUGAUGACGAAAAUGACGGUAAUCACAGAAGAAGGUCCGGCCAACUACGUGCCAGCCGCCGCGGUAAUA
rnacentral:rRNA from 1 species